CCUACGGGAGGCAGCAGUGGGGAAUAUUGGGCAAUGGGCGCAAGCCUGACCCAGCAACGCCGCGUGAAGGAAGAAGGCUUUCGGGUUGUAAACUUCUUUUGACAGGGAAGAGUAGAAGACGGUACCUCUUGAAUAAGCCACGGCUAACUACGUGCCAGCAGCCGCGGUAAUACGUAGGUGGCAAGCGUUGUCCGGAUUUACUGGGGGUAAAGGGCGUGCAGCCGGGAAGACAAGUCAGAUGUGAAAUCCCGCGGCUCAACCGCGGAACUGCAUUUGAAACUGUUUUUCUUGAGUACCGGAGAGGUCAUCGGAAUUCCUUGUGUAGCGGUGAAAUGCGUAGAUAUAAGGAAGAACACCAGUGGCGAAGGCGGAUGACUGGACGGCAACUGACGGUGAGGCGCGAAAGCGUGGGGAGCAAACAGGAUUAGAUACCCGUGUAGUC
rnacentral:rRNA from 1 species